rnacentral:rRNA from 1 species
GAGGGCCCUCUGGGUCACCUCCCCCCGUGUUUAUCGUACCUUGUUGCUUCGGCGGGCCCGCCUCACGGCCGCCGGGGGGCAUCUGCCCCCGGGCCCGCGCCCGCCGAAGACACACAAACGAACUCUUGUCUGAAGAUUGCAGUCUGAGUACUUGACUAAAUCAGUUAAAACUUUCAACAACGGAUCUCUUGGUUCCGGCAUCGAUGAAGAACGCAGCGAAAUGCGAUAAGUAAUGUGAAUUGCAGAAUUCAGUGAAUCAUCGAGUCUUUGAACGCACAUUGCGCCCCCUGGUAUUCCGGGGGGCAUGCCUGUCCGAGCGUCAUUGCUGCCCUCAAGCACGGCUUGUGUGUUGGGCUCUCGCCCCCCGCUUCCGGGGGGCGGGCCCGAAAGGCAGCGGCGGCACCGCGUCCGGUCCUCGAGCGUAUGGGGCUUCGUCACCCGCUCUGUAGGCCCGGCCGGCGCCCGCCGGCGAACACCAUCAAUCUUAACCAGGUUGACCUCGGAUCAGGUAGGGAUACCCGCUGAACUUAAGCAUAUCAUAAG